rnacentral:RNase_P_RNA from 1 species
GAAGAAGUACAGGCAAUCGCUCUAUCUGUAUAGAUAGGGAGGAAAGUCCGGACUCCCAACGACAUAGUGCCUUAGGAGAGGUUUUACCUACAACUAAGGAAGGCGUGAGUCUAUGGAAAGUGCCACAGAAAAUAACCGCUUUACUGAUCAAAAAGUACAAGUAAGGGUGAAAACGGGUGGUAAGAGCACCCGGAUGGUUGUAGUAAUACAAUCAUAGGGCAAACCCCACUAGGAGCAAGACAAAAUAAGCAGGUUGACCGUCGUUUCUUAUCCCUGCGGGUAUGUCGCAUAGAUAAAUGGUUGCUCAUUUAUUAUAAUAAAACAUACUAUAAUAAAGACACAGAAUCCGGCUUACGGAUUUCUUUAAAA